rnacentral:rRNA from 1 species
UACGUAGGGUGCAAGCGUUAAUCGGAAUUACUGGGCGUAAAGCGUGCGCAGGCGGUUUUGUAAGUCUGUCGUGAAAGCCCCGGGCUCCAACCUGGGAAUUGCGAUGGAGACUGCAAGGCUUGAAUCUGGCAGAGGGGGGUAGAAUUCCACGUGUAGCAGUGAAAUGCGUAGAGAUGUGGAGGAACACCGAUGGACGAAGGCAGCCCCUGGGUCAAGAUUGACG